UGUAAAUAUAAUUUUCUCUGCAGCUAUGCAAUUUGGUUCAUUUCAACCUUUGGACAAAGUUCAUCUCCCAUCAACGAAAAUGAAUUUUUCCCGACGAUGUUCUUCUGUUAUGCCGUUGAAAGCCGAGCCAAAGAGCAACGAUUCAAUUGUCCCUUCAGCAGCAACCAUUAUUGCCCCUGGUGAGUUUUUUCUUUUUUAAGACACAAUUUGUUUAAUUUAUUGUGAUUUUUGGACAAUCUGAAAUGACGGAUUGCCCUUGAUUUUGUUAUAGAAUUAAGCAGACGUGUUUGAAAAGGUCGAGGUAGAGGAUUACGAAAAACUGGCCAAGUAUCUUCAAAAUGCUUAUCGUCUUGAGAUUAUGGACAAAGCCCUUGCGAAAUUCGGAAAUGAUAAUGCAAUUGCUUUCAGGUAAUUCUGAAAAUCGUGAUUAACUCAUAAAAUUGAUGUAUCUAUAGAAAUUUUUAUAAUGGCAUUUGACUAUGCUAAUAAACCGUCAAAAAUAAUUUAGCUCUCUCUACUUUAUUUAUUUUUUGGAUGGUUGCAUAAUUUACUAUUUGUGUGUAUAAAAUCUUUAACUAAGGACCUGAUUAAUAGGUUUGUUUUUCCAUGGAAAAUGGAAAAAAUUUUCCAUUUCCACCCAAAAAUGUAUGUUUGAUUGCAAAAAAAUUUCAUAGAAUUGGUUUUCCAAUUAUUCUCCCCUCCCCCCACGUUACCACAUUUUCUUGGUUUUUAAGGAAUUCAAUUUCCUUUGGUUUUGGUGGGAAUUGGGUUUUUCAGGUUCUUUUUUUAUUAUUUUCAAAUUUUUUUGGCAAUGAAAACAAAUUCUAUCCACAAUUGUAACAAUUUUCAUGAAAAACAAAACCAAACGAAUACCAAAAGAUCCCAAAUUUAAACAUCUUUCGGUGAAAAUUUAUACCAAUUAAACAUAUGUAAUUAACAAUUCCCAGCAAAAUAAGUUUUAGACAAUUUAAUUUCCUGAAAUUUGUUUUCUUUCCAUCCAAAUUUCAUUCUUGCAAUAAAAUGGACCCUAAUAGACUAUUCAGUACAUGGAAGCUUUUUAUUUUGAUGAAAUCUGUAUAUGGAAAUUGAGGCAUUUGAAAAUAUUAGCCGUUUGGUACCAUGUGGAACUUUGCAUAUAUCAUGUGAACAAGUACUUCAAAUGAAAGCAUGCUGAAUCAGGAUUUACUUACUGAGAAAAAUAAUUAUUGCAGUGGCGCCGAAGAUGUUGCGUUGAUAGAAUAUGCACGUUUAACUGGCCGACCAUCUAGAGUUUUUAGCUUGGACACCGGUAGGUUGAACCCUGAGACAUACAAAUUCUUUGACGAUGUUGAGAAGCACUAUGGGAUUUGCAUUGAAUCCAUGUUUCCUGAUGCUGUUGAAGUUCAGGCUUUGGUUAGAAGCAAGGGACUUUUCUCUUUUUACAAAGAUGGGCACCAGAGUGCUGAAGUGUCAGGAAGGUUAGGCCACUGAGGAGGGCCCUUAAGGGGCUUCGUGCUUGGAUAAUUGGCCAGUGGAAGGAUCAGUCUCCUAGUACUUGCUCGAAAAUUUCAGUUGUUCAAGUUGACCCUAUCUUUGAGUGGCUGGAUGGUGGGAUUGGCAGCUUGGUGAAGUGGAACCCAGUGGCAAAUGUGAAGGGUGAUGAUGUCUGGAAUUUGCUCUGGGCCAUGAACGUGCUUGUGAACUCAUUGCAUGUUCAAGGAUACAUAUCCAUUGGAUGUGAGCCAUGGACAAGACCCAUCCUACCUGGGUAACACGAGAGAGAGAAGUUGGUGGUGGAAGGGUGCCAAGGCCAAGGAGUGUGGCUUGCACAAAGGUAACAUCAAGGAAGAAAGCUUAGAUGGCAACCACGCAAAUGGAACCGCCACUCAUGCUGAUCUUUUCAGCACGCAUAAUGUUGUUAACUUGAGCAGGUCGGGAAUCGAGAACUUACUGAAAUUGGAAAAUAGGAAAGAGGCUUAGCUUUUUGUGCUCUAUGCACCAUGGUGCCGCUUUUGCCAGGUAAAUAUUUAUCUCGACGCUAAUUGUACUGCUGUUUAUCAACAUGAGUUUCAGUCUAAAAUCCGUUUUUUCUUAUCCUAACAGGCAAUGGAAGGAUCAUUUGUGGAACUGGCAAAGAAGAUUGCAGGUUCCGGUGUUAAGGUGGGAAAGUUUAGGGCAGAUGGGGAGGAAGCAGUUGCUCAGAAAGAAUUAAUGUUGGGGAGCUUUCCUACAAUACUUUUCUUCCCCAAACAUUCUUCAAGGCCGGUAAAAUAUCCCUCCAAGAAGAGAGACGUGGAUUCAUUGGUGACUUUUGUGAAUGCACUCGGACAAGACAUCGAAGGAUCAGAUUCGAUUAGUAUUAGGAGGAAAGGGGGGACAAUAUUCGCAAAAGGUUCAUAUUCCAUUACGGAAUAUAAGGAUCCUAUCCCCGAAAGGAAAUAUGGGGAAGUUCACCGGGAGGUUGUAUCACCUAUUUUCCUACCGAUUUUGGUCUUCUUGCGACUCCAUUUGAGUGAUGAAAUAGUAUUUUUGCUAUUUUGAUUGGUUUUCUUUUGCCUGUCCUUUAAGGGGCUCAGUUUUGUAAGUUACAUGAUUGUGUAAAAUUAUUAUUUGAGACCAUUUCUUUUGCUUCUUGGCUUGAAGAAAAAAGUGGAAAGAUUAAUGUCUCAUGCUAUUAUCUUAUUAAUAAGAAAUAUAUUUCAAGAUCAUGC
rnacentral:lncRNA from 1 species